rnacentral:rRNA from 1 species
UACGUAGGGUGCAAGCGUUGUCCGGAAUUAUUGGGCGUAAAGAGCUCGUAGGCGGUCUGUCGCGUCGGCUGUGAAAAACCCGAGGCUCAACCUCGGGCCUGCAGUCGAUACGGGCAAACUAGAGUACUGCAGGGGGAGACUGGAAUUCCUGGUGUAGCGGUGAAAUGCGCAGAUAUCAGGAGGAACACCGGUGGCGAAGGCGGGUCUCUGGGCAGUAACUGACGCUGAGGAGCGAAAGCGUGGGGGAGCGAACAGG